GGUAUUAAUUGUCAAUAUAAUGUGCAAAUUUAGGAGGAAAAAACUUGGACAGGCAAUGGACUGAAAGAACAUGACUAGGGAAGCACCCAGCUCCAGAAGUCCCAGCCUGCCACCGUAGAAUGGUUCUGUUUCCCAGGAUUGGAGAUUUGCUGCAUACGUAGCAUUUGUCACAGACCGUCCCCAGCAGAGAUGGGGUGGAGGGAACAUAUGCUGCUGGAGGUACUGGGAGAAGAAGACCUGUGUGGCAGAAGCCUACAGAGCCAUAGUGUCCAAGCUCAGAGGAAGGACCAGGAGUAACACACUUGUGACCCUGAGACUGCGCACAGGCCCCCUGCAGCAGGGAGUCUUCUCCAACCCCAACAAUUGGUGAGCACUUUCCUGCUUCAGGUGCAGAAGAGGGUAGCUGACCAGCGAAUCAAAGAAGUAUCCAUUGGCGCAGGAGGGCUUGGAUCUGCCUAAGGGAGCUGAAAAAGAUCUACACAAUGAGCACCUCGUCUUUCUCAAA
rnacentral:lncRNA from 1 species